GGGGGUGUAAAGGUUUCGACAGGGGUCAGUUUGAAUAGGAUUGCAGUCGUAGGCAUACGUUAAAUGCACCAAAAAAUAACUGGAAACAGAACAAAUUACGCUUUCGCAUAAUUAGUCGUAUAGUAGACUAGCGAAUGCAUGCAUCAUUAUCGCUUGUUUUGAUGGUGUAUGUAUCAUAACUAAGCAAGCUGGUAGAACAGGAUUGUCUUAUUCUGCUUCUAUGAGAUUUAAAGACUAGGUAUGUGUAAGAGGGCUCACUGAUCAUAGCAUACUGAAAUUAACUCAGCGAGAUAAACUGUAGAUAUCCUAUAUGGAACGGCUUUUGGACAGGAGUUCGAUUCUCCUCACCUCCACCA
rnacentral:tmRNA from 1 species